GUUCUUUCCUGUCCAUACCAUCUCUUUCAAGGAUCUUGGUGCUCUCCCCUUACUGCUCAGAGACCAGGCUUGCUUUCUACAACCAUGGCAUCAGGUUUCUACAACUUGACUAAAGGAGAGUAUAUGAACAAGUCUGUGACUGUUGGUGAAGGAGCAAAGAGUCCUGUACUGCCUCCCAAGAUUAGGUGGCAACCAGCCAGUGGUUAGGGUCCUCUGCAGGCUCUCCUCAGGAAGACCAGGAGAGCUCCUCAGAGAUGUGGACACCCCGGAACUUGAAACUGGAAACAUAAAUAUACAUUUUAUUAGGCUAAUACUAGUUUUACAGUAGAUCAAUAUCUCUACAGUAAGAAUGAUUGUGGUCCAAAGUACUUGAGAAUACAUGUAAACAUUAUAGACUAUUAGUGACAGAGUCCAUGAGUGGAAAACAAAUACUUGUGCAUGUUUGUAAAAUAUCCCCUGUGCUACUUGUGACACAGUACUGGAUUAUAUAACACGCAUGGCAUAAAAAUACAGGCCUACAAUAUAGAUUUUCCCAAUGUAAAAUACACUGCAGUGCCAUCAUGUAAAUAAAAUCAUCGUAACAGCAAUGGGCACAUCAUAAUCCCUCUUAGUUACAAAACAAGUGUUAUACAUCUUGUAAAUCCUGAACAUACAUCUUGUAAAUCCUGAACAGUUGUAGGCUACUCUUACAAAAUUGACUGAUUCAUCCUACUCAGUGCUGUUUUCUCUUAUCUGAUCAUGUUGGUUAUGGUAUAUAUACAUUAGAUCACUUGUUUUAAUGUCUCUGUUCAUAUUGGGUAGGCUACAGAAGUUUAACACACCAAAAAAUGUGGCAGAUCGUACCACCACAGCCAAAGACUGAGCUCACGGGCCGGGACGUCUCGUGGAUGGUUUACCAACAGAUUCAAAAUGCUAACGUCUUUCUUUGCAGUUUUUGGUGGUUUUCAGCGAGACAAGACAGAAAGAUUAAGGCAUUGUUAGAAUUGUAGUUUUACUGUAGUAUAGUUGUUAAAUAUUUUAUAUAGCUCUAAAGUUUUUGAUAGUUCUUGUUUAGCUAGUGUUCCGACAUAGCUCUACUGUAGGUUUGUUGUGUAAUCUUUAGCGUAGCUUAUAAUAGUGUAGUUUACAGUAGUGUUUUGUAUAUUUAGCGUAGACUAAUCAAUUGUUUUAUAGUAUCAGUGUUCUGUACAGUAGUUUUAUUGUAGGUUUUGUAUUUAGGUCUAGCGUUAGUUGAGUAUACUCAAUAUUUUAGCUAGUCCAAGUUAGUUGCUACGGCCUAGCUUGCAAUUCCUGUACAGUACUGUACAGUGACCAACUGACAACUGACCAACACCAAUCGACACCAAU